ACGUGUUGAAUAAAAAUUUUACAUGUGUCUUAGUAACUCUGAAUUAAAGGGUGAAGAUAAAAAUCUCAAAAAAGGAAGAUAAUCUUAAGAAAAUAAAUACAUAUUAGCAUACAUUGAGAAAACAACGGUAAUAAAUCAGUCCAGAAACAUUGGCUUGGUUGAUACGAAAUUAAUGAAUCUUUGACCUCAUCUUAUAGUUAUUAUUUGGUUCUGUCUUAAGUGGCUUGGUUACUUUGUUUCUUCCUAUGUUUUGGUUUGGUUACUUUUACACCGGUUUAGCUCAGCUUUGAUUUUAGUUUUGUACCUAAACAAAAAUAAGAGAGAAGUUGGGUGCGUGAGAUCAACAUGCGGCGCGUGAGACCACCUCCCGGCGAUUUCUCUCUCAAAUCUCUUCUUCUUCUAAGCACAAUCUCUUGCACCGUCGGUGGGGGUCUUCCGUUGAUUCGAGCGAUGAUGAUUACUCUAUGGCUCAUGGUACUUCAAUCAUGAUCUGCUGCAUCUUCUCUUCUAAACAAACCAAGCACAACCAAGGGAGAAGUGGAGAUGAGAAGCUUUUGUGAGACAUUAUUCAUGAUUUCGGUGGUGUAGCAGCGCAAAGUGGAAGCUAGAGGAAGACUUCACGGCGAGGAAUGAGGAAGAAGACGGUUAUAUCUGGGGACUAGAGAUCCUAGAGGCUUCAUGAGGCUGAUGUUCGAUGGGGGAGGUCCACUCCGGCCCGGUGAAGCCAAACCACUAUCGAUAGAUUCCAGAUCUACUCCCAACUGCCUUCAAUCUUACAGUCAAACCUGAAAUUUUCUCGACAACAAACAACUUGGGUCCUUCCUCUUUCUUAAAACUUCUCUACGGUGGCAAAGAGGUAAACCAAUCCUUGAUCACCUCCUCCGUUUUAUCCGCGACGUCCAAGCACACCAGAGAACCUGUUCCGACGUGGAUCGACAGAUCUGAACGGCGGCUGCAACGUGUUCUACGUUUGCAUAUUAGGGUUUUGCAGUAAUCGGUUAGAUUUGGUUUUCUAAAAUCGGUUCUGUUUUGUUUUUUGAUUGGUUUAGCUAGGUUUGAUGUUUUAGACCGAGUCCUAAUGGGUUAUUGUAUGGGCCUAUUUCUGGAAAUAAUAAGUAUGGGCCUAUUUCUGGAAAUAAUUGCAAACACUUUUAUAAAAUAAAAAAAAAUAAAAAAAUUAUUCAAAAUUAAUGAAAUUUGGUAAAUAUCGACGAUUGAAUAUUUAUAAUUUUUCUUUUUUCUCCUAUGUUCCUAAUGUAUCUCUUCUGCUUUGAAUAACGAUGUUAUUGG
rnacentral:lncRNA from 1 species